rnacentral:lncRNA from 1 species
ACGUCGUAAUGUAACUAAACAUCAGUAAGUAAAAUAUAUCGGGAUGACAAAAUAUGAAAAAUAAAGAAAGAAUAAUGAGUAAGACAAAAUAAAAUGUAGAAAAAAAUGACAUAAUAAUUUAAAGAAUACAGAAAUAAACAAUUAUAUAUCCCCAAUCCGGACCCUCAUGGUAUACACGAGAAUCUGGAUGGAAACGCAGAAUAUAGAAUAUUAUAUAAGGACAGUAGAGAGUGAUACAGUGCUAAAAACGAAAGAAAAAAAAUACUUAUUUAAGAAUACAUUCAUGAAACACCGAUGACUGUUGAAACAGUAACGGAUUGCGAUGUACUUAUAUUGGUGACAAAUUCUAGAAGUUUACAUGCGGACAACUAUGGUGGCAGGUUAAUUCCAUUUUGCGUUUUAGCGCUUUAGCGUUUUCGCCUUUCAUAUUCUAUAUGGCGAAAACGCGAAAUUGCGAAGUCGAAAACGGGAAAACGCGAAACCGAUUUCUCGUUUUCGACUUCGCGUUUUCGCGUUUUUGACUUGCCGAUUUUGCGUUUACGCCCCAUAGAAUAUGAAAGGCGAAAUCGCGAAAACGCGAAAUGUAAUUUACCGGCC